CAGGAGGGUUAAGCCCGGGAUGAUUAGACAAAUGUAGGGCAGAUAUCUGCGGCUUCAGAGGCAGGCUGAGCCGCUGUCACCGAGGAAUGCUCUGCAGCAUUAAAGAUACCUGUCUCACACUGAGCAUGCUCACUCUGCGGUUCAGUUUCUACUUAAAUGUUCUCCCUUUUUCCAGUGCAUUCGACCUCUCAGGGCCACCACACUGCAGCAGCACUACUAGAGGAUUAAAAAAGGUUACACGAAUGGUGUGAUAAGACCCCCUCUGACUUAUCUGUUGACCAUCUGGAGUGGGAUCGACCCCACAGCUUGGAUAAUUAUGGACUGAACUGUGUAAGUAUUGCAGUUCUAACACUAACAUAG